rnacentral:tRNA from 1 species
UCUGACCAGGGAGACACCUCCCUUUACUA